rnacentral:rRNA from 1 species
UACGUAGGGGGCAAGCGUUGUCCGGAAUCAUUGGGCGUAAAGAGCGUGUAGGCGGCCCGGUAAGUCCGCUGUGAAAGUCCAGGGCUCAACCCUGGGAUGCCGGUGGAUACUGUCGGGCUCGAGUCCGGAAGAGGAGUGUGGAAUUCCGUGGUGUAGCGGUGAAAUGCGCAGAUAUCAGGAGGAACACCGGUGGCGAAGGCGGGUCUCGUGGGCCGGAACUGACGCUAAGGAGCGAAAGCGUGGGAGC